rnacentral:rRNA from 1 species
CGUUCAACCUCACCCUUCCUUGUUAAUCCUGCCUAUAUACCGCCGUCGUCAGCCUACCCUGUGAAGGAAACAUAGUGGGCUAAACUGGUACUACCCUUAAUGUCAGGUCGAGGUGUAGCAUAUGGAAGGGGAAGCAAUGGGCUACAUUCGCUACUGCAGCGAAUCACGAAAGAUGCACUGAAAUAUGCAUCCGAAGGUGGAUUUAGCAGUAAGGGGGGAGCAGAGUGCCCCCCUGAAGUCGGCUCUUAAGCGUGCACACAUCGCCCGUCACUCUCCCCGAACCAGUCUAAAUUGGUAAUUAACAACACGGACGCUAUCGAGGGGAGGCAAGUCGUAACAUGGUAAGUGUACCGGAAGGUGCACUUGGACAAAU